rnacentral:rRNA from 1 species
UACGUAGGGGGGCAACGUUGUCCGGAAUCAUUGGGCGUAAAGAGCGUGUAGGCGGCCCGAUAAGUCCGCUGUGAAAAGUCCAGGGCUCAACCCUGGGAUGCCGGUGGAUACUGUCGGGCUCGAGUCCGGAAGAGGAGUGUGGAAUUCCUGGUGUAGCGGUGAAAUGCGCAGAUAUCAGGAGGAACACCAAUGGCGAAGGCAGCACUCUGGGACGUGACUGACGCUGAGACGCGAAAGCGUGGGGAGCAAACAGG